rnacentral:rRNA from 1 species
GGAAAGGUGAAAAGAACCCCGAACAGGGGAGUGAAAUAGAACCUGAAACCAUACGCUUACAACCGGUCGGAGCAGCUUCGUGCUGUGACGGCGUGCCUAUUGAAUAAUGAGCCUACGAGUUACUAAUCACUGGCGAGGUUAAGUGCACGGAUGCACGGAGCCGAAGCGAAAGCGAGUCUUAAUAGGGCGUUUAGUCAGUGGUUGUAGACGCGAAACCUUGCGAUCUACCCUUGAGCAGGUUGAAGGUUGGGUAAAACCAACUGGAGGACCGAACGAAUAAGCGUUGAAAAGCUUCUCGAUGACUUGAGGGUAGGGGUGAAAGGCUAAUCAAGCUGGGAAAUAGCUCGUACUCCCCGAAAUGCCUUUAGGGGCAGCGUUGUAAUUAAGAGUCUACUGGAGGUAGAGCUACUGAUUGGAUGCGGGGGCUUCACCGCCUACCAAAUCCUGACAAACUCCGAAUGCCAGUAGUAUGAUUUACAGCAGUGAGCGACCGGGUGCUAAUGUCCGGUUACGAGAGUGGAACAACACAGACCAGCAACUAAGGUCCCCAAGAGUAUACUAAGUUGAUCUAACGAUGUUUUGCUGCAGAGACAGCUAGGAUGUUAGCUUGGAAGCAGCUAUUCAUUCAAAGAGUGCGUAACAGCUCACUAGUCGAGCGGCAAAGCGUGGAUAAUAAACGGGCAUCAAGUAUACCACCGAAGUUCUGGGCACGAAAGUGCGGUAGGGGAGCAUUCCAUUCCGCGUUGAAGCCGAACCGUGAGGUUUGGUGGAGUGUAUGGAAAAGCAAAUGUAGGCAUGAGUAACGAUAAUGCGGGAGAGUAACCCGCACACCGCAAGACCAAGGUUUCCUGAUCAACGCUAAUCGGAUCAGGGUUAGUCGGGUCCUAAGGGUAAGCCGAACGGUGAUCUCGAUGGAUAAUCGGUUAAUAUUCCGAUACUGACAUAUACCUCGAUGGAGAGACGAAGGAACGUAAGUGCCGCCACCUGACGGAAUAGGUGGUUAAAGGGCUUAGGUAUAGGGACAGAUUAAGAGUUAGUCCUUGCUGAAACCUGACAGUACAGAGAGCCUACGGGCAAUUUGAUAGAGCACCCAAGUCGACUUCCGAGAAAAUCUUCUAAGUUAUAGUAUAUGUUACCCGUACCGUAAACCGACACAGGUGGUCGAGGAGAGUAUCCUAAGGUGCUCGAGUGAAUCACGGUUAAGGAACUAGGCAAAUUAACCCCGUAACUUCGGGAAAAGGGGUCCCUAUGAAAGUAGGGCGCAGCGAAGAGGUCCAGGCGACUGUUUAUCAAAAACACAGGGCUCUGCAAAUUCGAAAGAAGACGUAUAGGGCCUGACACCUGCCCGGUGCUGGAAGGUUAAGAGGGGAUGUCAUCGCAAGAGAAGCAUUGAAUCGAAGCCCCAGUAAACGGCGGCCGUAACUAUAACGGUCCUAAGGUAGCGAAAUUCCUUGUCGGGUAAGUUCCGACCUGCACGAAUGGUGUAACGAUCUGGACACUGUCUCAACCGUGAGCUCGGUGAAAUUGUAGUCCCGGUGAUGAUGCCGGGUACCCGCAACGGGACGAAAAGACCCCGUGAACCUUUACUAUAGCUUAACGCUGAAUUUGGGUACACAAUGUGUAGGAUAGGC